rnacentral:rRNA from 1 species
UGGGGAAUUUUGGACAAUGGGCGCAAGCCUGAUCCAGCCAUGCCGCGUGAGUGAAGAAGGCCUUCGGGUUGUAAAGCUCUUUCGGACGGGAAGAAGUGGCGGGCUCUAACAUAGCCUGUCGAUGACGGUACCGUAAGAAGAAGCACCGGCUAACUACGUGCCAGCAGCCGCGGUAAUACGUAGGGUGCGAGCGUUAAUCGGAAUUACUGGGCGUAAAGCGUGCGCAGGCGGUUUUGUAAGACAGAUGUGAAAUCCCCGGGCUUAAACUGGGAACUGCGUUUGUGACUGCAAGGCUGGAGUACGGCAGAGGGGGGUGGAAUUCCACGUGUAGCAGUGAAAUGCGUAGAGAUGUGGAGGAACACCGAUGGCGAAGGCAGCCCCCUGGGCCUGUACUGACGCUCAUGCACGAAAGCGUGGGGAGCAAACA